rnacentral:lncRNA from 1 species
UGAUUAGAACCUUCAGAAAUGUUUUGCACUAUUUCAAAUACCAAAAAUCAAAUAUCUUUGAAUUUGAAUAGUUUCUAUUUUUCCCAAAUUUGACUAUUUUAAUGGUCAAGUGAAUGUAGUUGUUAGCUUAACAAUUAAAAUAAUUUAAUUAAGUUGGAAUUUGUUAGAAAAUACUCUUUGAAAUCUUGAUCAAUGUUAGAUGUGCUUUGAAAUUUAGUUGUUGAGGUCGAUCUUGUACCCCUGAUUUACUGACAGCUUAGUAGUGUGACGAAUUUAAAAAAAAAUAAUUUGUGAAUGAAAAGGGGGUGUCCGUGGUGGAAAUAGAGGGAUCGGAUCUGAUCUCGAAGAAGUCCGUUAAAGAGCAAACGGGUCUUCUUUCUUUUCUUUUCCUCUAGAGGCGUGAUCGUAGAUUGUAAUCUCCAGAAAUUGUACUUCCUUUUCUUUUUGUAUAAUAAAGUUUUCUCUUCCUUUGCCCUUGAUUUUUUUUUUCCUACAAAAAAUUUUUCACAUGUAUUCUACUUUCUUUUACUGCUUUGUGGUUUGUCUACUUUAUUAUCGGCAUUUUCGUUUUUGUUUGUGCGCUCAUUGUAACAAUCAAAAAUGAUAUCUUUGAAUUACAUAAUAGAGAGAUCACAUGUCAUGUUUUUCAACUCAAUUCAAUUUACACCAGUCAUAUUUCGUUUAAACCAUCAAAAUUUUAUGAUUUUUAGUUUACAUGCUCUAGAUUAUUUUUCAAGUUGUUGAUACUGAAUUCAAAAAGCAAGAAUUUAGGAUCAAACCCUCUUAAAAGGAACCUAAUUUUUACUUCAACAAAAAUAAUGUACUUACUUAUGGAGGAUGCAGCUAUUUAUUCAAGAUGAAUCUUAUAUAAACAUUCAAAUUGUAAUGGUUGGACCCAGCUCAAACAGGGAACAUGUUAUGUGGACAUUUUGGAAAGCAAAAUGAACUUGGCCAUGCAUAUAUGCUACCAAAUUUGACUAUUGCUUAAGAUUGCUUUGAAUACACUGAUCAUCAUUUGGUUUUUAGUAUGCUGUAUUAUGAUCUAUUGUACUUUUGUUGAACCCUUAAGGUUCCAAAAAUGUAGGUUAUGAAUUUAGUCACAUUCCCGUUCGAUUUAGGAGCCUAAUGUGGUGCAAACUAAGAUUUCCUUGGAAUUUGUUAGAUAGUCACAUUAAAAUUAUGUAUGCAAUUAAUUCAAUGGAUGCCUCAUGUGUCUCCUUCCACCCUAUCACUACUCCAAUUAACAAAAUUGUAGUGGCGGAGGAUGAAGAGCUUAGGGCUCGAGCAAGAACAACAAAGGAACAUGUAGAUUUGGGGAGAAGAUCUAAAAUAGGGAAUAGUAGUAAUAAUGGGUCGGACGGUCAGAAUCUCAAUUCGACCUGUCAAGGCUGUUGGAUCACAGGUUGCCUGGAGCAGGCCUUCCAUUAUGAUCCACGAAGUCGGUCCACAGAGAAAGGGCAACCCACCAAGUCCAACUAUUUAAUCAAUUUUCCUCUUAAUGCCUUUCAUUUCUUUAUUUGCAUAGUAGGCAUCAUGUAAUAGCUAUAAGUAGUAGAAGGGGUAAAGUGUAAGGGUAUGAAUGGAAUUAAAAGAAUUCUUCCUCCCGAAUUCUAUCUUCUCUUUUCCUCUUUUCUCCUCUCUCCUCCCUCCUCUCUUCCACUUACCUCAUCCUCUCUCGUCAACCUCAUCCUCUUCCUUGAAUUACCAAAUUUCAGAAUCUAAGCAGACUAUCAUUCCUAUUACCAUCCAACCCUCAAGAGCAUUCUCAUCCUUGGGUGGUUGCGGUGAGUCCGGGCAUUACAAUCUGGUAUCAGAGCCGAUUCCGAUCCCAGGGAGCUACGAUGGAAAAACCCACGUUGGAUCCAAAUUGAAAGAUCUGUAGAGCCACAGGGGAUAUCAACCCGCAAUUGAAAUUUCCUCUUCGGGUGGAAUUUGGAUUACGAGGGUUAUCCACUGUUAGGCACUAGAGGAUCGAAGCCUACAGGGAAGACGAAGUAUCAUAGGGUCAAUCCUUGAAGACGAUUGCAGAAUUAGAGCAUACAUACCAUUGGACCAACAUUGGAUCCAGUAGAACGAAUCGCUUCAAGUUUGUGAGUAAGACAACUUAGGCCAUGGUAGAGGGCACGAGGUUCAGGAUGCUGGAUGAGCAUGUGCAGUUCCUGGAGCAAUAAUUGCAGGAGCUAACAGCCAGAAACAAUAAGAAAUUUGAGGAGCUAAGACAUAAGAUAGAGAUGAUGCAAGCGGAGGAACAUUCCCACUACGAUGCAUUGCGCAGAGAGUCCGCCAACACGGCUAAGAAACUAGACCAGCUGAUGGAAUUCAUAUCAACCAACAGCAAGCAUCAUCUUCAAAGGAAAGGACUAUCAUGCAGGAAGAGAGAGAUAUACUGCCCACUCCCCUUAUUCUGUUGUCUAGAGAAGACACACAUUCCUUCCAAAUACACACUAGGACCAAUAACCAAUUACCUCUUCCGCGAUUGGAAUUUUUAAUGUUUAAUGGCGAUAACCCCAGGAGUUAGGUUAGAAGAUAUAAAAAAUAUUAUGAGAUUUAUGAGAUUAAGGAGCAUCAAAAACUGGAGAUAGCUACUAUGCAUAUGGAACCCAAGGCAGAUACCUAGUUCCAUGGUUACCUGACUAAGAAAAGGACCGUGAGUUGGGAGAUGUUCGUGCAGGAUAUAUGCAAAUGAUUUGAUCCAAAUGGUUUAAAGGAUGUAAUGGAAGAAUUUAACAAGUUGACACAACAAGGAACAGCAGAAGACUAUCAGGAGCAAUUCGAAGAUCCGAAGGAAAGGUUACUAAGUACCAACUCAUACUUCACACCUGAAUAUUUCCUGUCAAGUUUUUUGAGUUGGCUAAAGAAAGAAAUAAGAACUGAUGUCAAGAUGAUGCAGCCCAAUUCUCUCAUCCAGGCCUUCGAGUUGGCCAAGCUGUAGAGCAAAAUUUAGUAGCAGUGAUGACGAAAAGCAUACUGUGGUUCAAAAAUCAGGGAAGUACCUUGACCAACAGCAAUCACCAGGGUAAUAGUUCGGCAAUGCCAGCUAAGCAGACUGACACUUCCAGGAACUAUGCCAACAAGGCUAUUGCGAAAAGCUUCCCUCGAAAUAGACAGCUUAUCGAACAAAGGAGAGCAGCCGGGCUAAACUUUAAAUGUGGCAAUAAAUAUUCGUUGGGACAUCAAUGCAAAUCACAGUCAGCACACUCCCUGAAUGCUAUGAAUGAGGUGGCGAAAAUUUAUGAUGAAAAGAGCCUAAAGGAAGAGGAGAAAACGGAAGAGCAAGUGAAAAAAGAAGGGAAAGAAGUUGGGUUAUCAGUGCACGAAUUAAGCGUGAAAAAUCUGCAAGAAACUAUUAAAAUCCAAGGUGAAACCAGGGGGAGAAAGCUGGUUAUCCUCACGGACACAGGUAGCACACAUAGUUUCAUAGAGAUAAACGUAGUCAAGGAAAUCAAGGCAACUAUCACCACGACCUCCCCGCUACUGGUAAUAGUGGCAAACGGAUAGAAAGUACUCAGCAAACUUAAGUGUCUUGGGUUCUCUUCGAAAAUGCAGGGAGAAAGAUACACUACAGACCUGCGUGUGAUUAGAUUGGAAGGGUCAAGUAUGAUAUGGGGAAUUAACUAGUUAAAAAUUUACGGACCAGUUAUUUUCGACUAUGAGCAGCAUACAAUGACGAUCAAGAAAGGAGGCAAGCAGGUUGAGCUCAUAGAAAUGACCAUGAAGGCAAUGAUCAAAGGUAUUACAGCCAAACAAUGGCAACAAGAGUAUCUGGAAGGUAGCUGUUGCGCACUAGCUCAACUAGAGAGUAUAGAAGGAGAAAACCAGAUCUACAUUCCCCAAGAGAUUCAAUCGAUUCCACAAAAAUAUGAGGAUGCAUUCCAGGAGCCCCAGGGCCUUCCCCCAGGUAGAACCCAAGAUCAUCGAAUUUCUUUACAAGUUAAGGCAGAGCCUGUCAACAUCCGGCUGUAUAGGUACACUUAUGAGCAAAAGAACGAAAUAAAGAGAUUAAUUAAAGAAAUGUUGGCUACUUCGGUGAUACAACCAAGUAAUAGUCCUUAUGCAUCCCCAGUAUUAUUAAUCAAAAAAAAGGAUGAAAGUUGGCGAUUCUACGUAGAUUACUGACAAUUGAAUAGGCUAACCAUUAAGGAUAAAUACCCAAUACCAAUAAUCGAGGAGCUGCUAGAUGAGUUGGGCGGAUCCAAGUACUAUUUGAAGAUCGAUUUACGAUCAAGCUACUAUCAGAUACGGGUGCACCCAGUCGAUGUUUCGAAAACAGCAUUCAAAACGCAUAUAGGCCAUUAUGAGUUUCGAGUCAUACCGUUUGGACUCAGCAAUGCGCCGGCAACUUUCCAGGCAAUGAUGAACGAGGUAUUGUCACGCCCCGGGACCCAGCGGAAGCCCGCCCUUCACGUGUCAAGACCCGCCAUACGUCUCAAACAUAUAAGGCGUCUACAAUAAAACGAUAAGAAAAAGCAAUAGAAGAAAGAUAUCUAGAAGUAUCAGAGCAAAGAACAACUAGAUUCUACAAAAGAUAAAUAACCAAAAGGCUAAAAUCCACUAAAUAAAACUAUAAGUAGUACAUCCGAAAACCAAAUACAAGUGCUAUAAGUAAUACAUAGGUGGUCUCUAUACAUAGUGCCAAAACCUCUCGCUCUCUACAAAAACAAAAGAGAGAGAACCACCUAAAGCAAAAUAAGAACUCCUCGCUAUCUAGUUAGCGAUCCCCUUGCCGCGAUCCCGUGCCUCCACCAGUGUAGAGGACUCUAAAAUAAAACUAUAAAACAGAGGGCGUGAGAACUAUUAAAUAAUAGUUCCCAGUGGGCAAUUACUGACUUCAGUGAAAUGCGCCACUAGGCCCAAAAGCUAUAAAAGGGGGGUAAGUACGAGUAAAGUAAUAUGAACAAUAAACAAAUAAACAUGAAAGUUUACUACAACAUGAUAUCUCUACUUAGCAUGAAUUUGCAUAAGUAAGAAUGCUACUGUACCAUAAAUAUGUAUAAGUGCAACUACUAUGAUGUCCACAGAUAACUAGUAAAUUGUCAAUGUUUACUAACUUGUCAAAUUGUUCAUUUACAAAUUGGUUCCACUUGUUCCAAAUCUCAUAAGACCUACCUAUGGGUAGUCCGGCUUGCGCCGUGCCUAAUGGCCCCAUGGUAGUAAACAUCCCCACUCUAGGAAUGAGCCUUCCCCACGGCAUCCCAUUUCGGCGCCCAAUCCCGCACGGGCGAGCAUGUGUCGCGAUGGCUAUCUCCGGAGUGCCGGCUUGUGGGGAGCGACCCUCACAAGCAUGUGCGAAUGAGCACAAUGGCAAGCAAGCGUAAAAGUCCGUCUCGAGUCUCAAGUCAUCAUGUCUAAAAUAUGUAAUGUAGCAAAUCUCUCAAUGGCCUAUCACUAUGUCAUCAUGUCUAAAACAUAGAAUAUAGUCGAUGUCACAAUGGCCUAUCACUAUGUCUCUAUGUUGCAGUUUCACAGUUCACUAGUUCGGUGCCCCUUUAUGGCACUUUUGUUCGCUUUGCCCAAACAUAAGUUUAGUGUUCAAGAAUACAUAAUUCGAGUCAUUUUCAUCAUAGGAGACAUAUUUUCAACUUGCAAUAUAGAAUACUUUUCACAUGCAUGCCUAAUACACAUAUAGCUCUGCUAUAUAGAGUUGAAUUUUCACGAUAUAUAACACAUGCAUUUUAAGUAUUCUAAAAUUUAUAAAAAAUCUAUCUAGCAUGAAUAUGCAUGCAUUUCGAUGAUACGACAAGUAUAAAACACAUAGGGGAUAUUUCUCCCUUGUUUCAUGAAGUCAAACCUACCGUGACUUCUCAAAACCCUUCGUUUGCGCCAACGAAGGUGUCCACUAUUCUCCUAGUACCCUAAAGAUAACAAAAUGAGGGAUACACGAACGUUACGAACAAUCAUUUGUUCAAACAUUAAGCAACUCAAGCAAAGGUGAAGAAAACUCACCAAAUGCGAAGAAACCUCUCACGAUCUCCAAAAGGGAGUUAGAGGCCCUCAAAUCCAACCUAAACCAAGAUUCUAAUAAGAUCAAUUGGGCUCCAAAAUCCUCAAAUCCAAAAUCCCCAUUACUAACCCUAAUAUGCUCCAUCUAGGUUUCAUUAAGUAAAAGCUACUAAAACAUGAAUCAAGAAGUAGAUUAGGCUUACUAACCUCACAAGAGCUCUAAAACAAUGCUCCAAGUAAGCUAGGGUUGAAGAUCCUCCCUCCACAAAGCUCCAAUCACGAGCUCGAGGCUUCUCCUAUGGAGGAAACCCAACAAGAAGCAAGAAAAGCAUAGAGGAGGAGAUCAAAACUAGUUAAAACCCAUCAAAAAUGGAGAAGAAAUUAAGGGGGGAAGAGCUUACCUUGUUCUCCACUGGUUAGGGCUCAAAAGAGCUCCUAAGGGGGCUGGGGUGUGUUAUAUAGAGUUUGCAACAAUUAUAAAUACACCCCUCCACAAAAACAGCUCGCACUGCAUUGUGUACCGGUACACGGGAAAGUGUACCGGUACAAAUCCCGCGAGACAGCAAACCCGAGCCUCGGGUUGGCCAUUCACCACAUCUGUACCGGUACAACCAUCAAGGUGUACUGGUACACUUUCUGUACCAGUACAACCAUCAAGGCUGUACCGGUACACAGCCCUAUUGAGGCAAUCCGAGAGCAGACCCAAAAAUCUAAUCUUUUGGAUUUUGGUGCUAAGUUUUAAACCUUAAUUCUCGGGAUACGAGCCAUAGGUCGGAACACUGUGUAACGUACUGGACCUUUGCAAAUUGCAAGGUUCGAGUGUUUGGAUGUGUCCUGAGCUUUUCCAGAUUUUCUGGUGGGUCAUUGACUGUGUUCCGACCUAUGGUCAGCUCUCGGGUAGCCCUCAGCAGGGCUUGUACCGGUACAAGGCUGUGGCUGUACCGGUACAAGGCUGAUAGUUGUAUCGGUACAGCCACCGGGCUUGUACCGGUACAGGGCCGCAGAACCCCGCAACCCGAGCCUCGGGUUUGGCUUUUCGUGGGUCUUGUACCGAUACAGGGACCCGUGUACCGGUAUAAGGCGGCAGAUUUCGUACAGUCCGAACUGCAGGGGGUUUUUCGCGUUUGUGCCUAAUCUAUUUAGCACCCACGCCCCUUAGGGCUUCUUUUGUGCUGGAACCUGAGGAGGAGAAGGUGAGAGGAGCUCCACCUUGCUCCAUUUGGUUUUGAUCUCCGUUUUAGACGGAUUUUGGUGGAUUAAUUAUUUUCUUUUCUCUUUUUAUGCUUUUCCCACCAUUGAUGGAGCUAGGAGCUUGGAUUUGAGGCUUGGUGGAGGUAAGAUCUUUGGACUUAGAAGGUUUAGAGCUUGGAUGGGAGCAUUUUAGAGGUAAAAGACUUGUUCUUUCCUCUAAAUUCCUAGCUUUGAUGAUUCUUUUGGAAUUAAACCCUAAAAUGAGGUUUUAGGGCUUAUUUUGGGCAUUUUGAAUCUAGGGCUUUUGGAGUUAGAUUGAGUGGAUUAGAGGCCUCCAUUAGGUUGGAUUGGAAGGGCUCUAGCUCUCUUUUGGAGCUUUAGAGGAGUUUUUGCACUGGCGGUGCUUUAGAGGCCUCCAUUAGGUUGGAGUGGGGAUGUUGACUACCACGGGGCCACUAGGCACGGCGCAGGCCAGACAGCCUUCGGGUGGGUCUUAUACGAUUGGGACUUGGUGACAGAACAUGCUAUGUGAACUUUAAAACUAUUAGAGUGGACUUGGACUAGAACAGUAAACAAUGACAUCUUUACUAUUUUUGCAUUGAGGACAUCGGAUUGGUUGCAUUUCUAUGCUUAUGCAUGUCAUACACAUCCAUGUACAUUCCUGAUAUAGUUGCUUUAUUACUUAUGCAAAUCAUGCUAAGUAGAGACUUUAUGUUAUAGUAAGUUACACUUUACUUACCUUUCGCUUUACUACGCUGUUAGCUACUGACCACUUUCUUUGUAGCUUUGGACCUUGUGGUGCAUUCACUAAAGUCAGUAAUUGCCCACUGGGAACUAUUUUUAAUAGUUCUCACGCCCUCUUUUUUGUGGUUUCUUUCAGAGCCUUCUGCACCGGCAGAGGCACGGGAUCACGGCAAGGGGAUCGCAUAGCUAGCCAGCGAGGAGCGGUUCUUUGCCUAGGUUGUUUGCUUUUUUUUUUCUAGUUGAGAGAGUGAGAGAUUUUGUAUCCAUGUAUAGAGACCACCUAUGUAUCUACUUCUAGCACUUGUAUUUGGAAUUUUCUUUGUAUUACUUUAUACUUUUAUUAGUGGAUUCCAGCUUUAUUCUCCUUUCUCUAUUGUAGAAGUUAGUAUUAUAUCAUACUCUGAUACUCCUAGUUGUCUUUCGUUACCGCUUUAUUUAUGGUUAUUUUUAGACGCCUUAUAUGUUUUAGACGUAUGGCGGGUCUGAGCACGCGCCGGGCGGGCUUCCACUGGGUCCCGGGGCGUGACACAUUGUCAACGACCCUCCAAAAUAUCUGAAAAAAUUCGGAACACGGAUCAAACACUCGAACCUCGCAAUUUGCAAAAAUCUAGUGUGUUACAGGUAUUCGCCCCCUUACUCUGAAAGUUUGUCCUUAUUUUCUUCGAUGACAUAUUGGUUUAUAGUAGCACUUUAGAGGAGCAUGCGAGACACUUGGAAACAGUGUUUCACAUCUUAAGAAAGAACAAACUUUUUGCGAAAAGAACGAAGUGCUUCUAUAGGCAAGAGCGGGUUGAAUAUAUGGGGCACAUCGUCACACAUCAAGGAAUAGCCACAGACCAGAGUAAAAUAGAGGCUAUGCAACAAUGGCCGACACCAACUUCAGCUAAGGGGCUGCACAAAUUUCUUGGCUUGACAGGUUACUAUCGGAGGUUUAUUAAGGGCUACGGUGCCAUUAGCAAACCCUUAACUGAACUAUUGAAGAAAACAUGGUACAAGUGGAACCCAAAGGCAUAGAAAGCCUUUGAGAAGCUAAAGAAACUAAUGACGGAAGCGCCGGUACUCGCCAUGUGGACAACAACAAGCCUUUGGUAGUAGAAGUUGAUGCUUGCAAGCAAGGGAUUGAAGCAGUCUUGAUGGAAAAGGGCCGACCAAUUACCUAUCUAAGCAAGGCUAUAAGUGGGAAGAACCUUAGAUUAUCUACCUAUGAGAAGGAAAUUCUUGUGAUAUUAAUGGCGCUUUCCAAGUGGCGACUCUACUUGAGUCAUAGGCAAUUUAUCAUUCAGACGAAUCACGAAAGCCCUGAAUACUUGCCGGAACUAAGAAUUUCCACAGCUAUCCAACAAAAAAGGAUGUUGAAGUUUUUAGGGCUAGAUUGUAUAAUACAAUACAAAAAGAGGAGAGAGAACAAGGCUGCAGAUGCAUUGUCUCAUAGGGCGUUUGAAGAAAGUAAAACACAGGCUAUUUCGGUAGCUAUUCUAGAGUGGACCACUGAAAUUUCUGCAAGUUACCAAGGGGAUGCGGAGUGCCAAAAGCUAAUAACCCAACUAUGUCUACAACCAAAUGAAGCUGCGCCUUACACCUAUGAUCAAGGAUUGCUGCGUUACAAAGGGAGAUUAUUUAUUAGAGGGAAAGGAGACCUCCGGUAGCUAUUACUGGCUCAAAUGCACAGCUCAACCUUGGGAGGACACUCGGGACAACAAGCUACUUACAAAAGGAUCAAACAGAUAUUCUACUGACCGGGACUCAAGCGUGAAGGAAGAGAUGGUAAAAAAUUGUACAGUUUGCUUCCAAAACAAAGCUAACAAUCAACCCUAUGCCAGACUACUGCAACCCCUGCCAAUUCCGCACCACAUUUGGCAAGAAAUUAGUAUGAAUUUCAUAAAAGGUCGGAAGGUAAAAACUCCAUAUUGGUGGUGAUCGAUCGAUUCUCCAAAUACGGUCAUUUUAUUCCUUUGAGCCGAUCGAUUCUCCAAAUACGGUCAUUUUAUUCCUUUGAGCCACCCAUACACUGUCGCAAGCAUGAUCAGAGCUUUUUAUGGCACAAUCUACAAAUUGCAUGGGCUACCGAAGAAGAUUAUAUGUGACCGAGAUAGGAUCUUUACAAGCGAACUAUGGAAUGAGCUAUUCAAGAAACUGGGGACUAAGCUGCUCAUGAGCUCAACGUACCACCCCCAGACGGAUGGACAAACGGAGAGAUUUAACCAUUGUGUGGAGACAUAUUUGCGCUGCUUAUGUUUCCGACACCCACACAAAGGCAUCGUUGGAUAGUGUACGCAAAAUGGUGGUACAACACCAACUUUCAUACCUCCUCAGGUCCUCUAUGGGAGAACACCCCCAAACUAUCUAGUAGCCAAUCUGGGGUUAGCCAAUCUGGGGUUAGGCUCUACAAAAUAAGUACAAGAAUGGAGGAAAGAGAGGGAAAAGAUUAUGAGGGACCUUCGGGAGAAUCUAUUGAAGGCCCAAAACAGAAUGAAACAAUUCGCCGAUAGACACCGAGUGGAUCGGGAAUUCAAGGUAGGAGACUUUGGUGUUCCUAAAGCUACAACCUUACCAACAAAACACAGUGACGGAGCGAAGGAACAUGAAGCUUUCAGCUUGAUACUUUGGGCCCUACGAGGUUUUGGAGAAGGUCGAGGCGGUGGCGUACAAGUUGCGGCUUCCGGACGACUCAAAGAUACAUCCCGUCUUCUAUGUUUCCUUGCUCAAGUGAAGCCCACCAGAUGGGCACUCGGCCUCAAUGGCGGCACCAGUAGUGUGGAGGAAGGACAACCACCGACGGUGCCGGAGAAGAUUUUGGAUCGCCGUAUGGUGCGGCGAGGGAACAAAGCGGUAGCUCAAGUUCUAGUGAAAUAGAGCAAUCUUCCCGAAAAUCCGGCGACUUGGGAAGAUGAUUGGUCACUCAAGAAGCAAUUUCUUGCCUUUGAUCUUUAAGGACAAGGAUCGUUCCGUAGGAUGGAGGGAUUGUAGUGGCGGAGGAUGAAGAGCUUAGGGCUCGAGCAAGAACGACAAAGGAACAGGAAGAUUUGGGGAGAAGAUCUAAAGUAGGGAAUAGUAAGAAUAACGGGUCAGGCGGUCGGAAUCUCAAUUCGACCCGUCAAGGCUGCUGGAUCACAGGUUGCCUGGAGCAGGCUUUCCAUUAUGAUCGAUGAAGUCGGCCCAUAGAGAAAGGACGACCCGCCAAGUCCAACUAGUUAAUCAAUUUUCCUCUUAAUGCCUUUCAUUUCUUUAUUUGCAUAUUAGGCAUCAUGUAAUAGCUAUAAGUAGUAGAAGGGGUAAAGUGUAAGAGUAUGAAUGGAAUUAACAGAAUUCUUCCUCCCCAAUUCUAUCUUCUCUUCUUCUCUCUCCUCCCUUCUCUCUUUCCCUUUCCUCAUCCACUCUUGUCAACCUCAUCCCCUUCCCUGAAUUACCAAAUUUCACAAUUCGAGCAAAUCAUCAUUCCCAUCAUAAUCCAACCCUUUGAGCAUUCUCAUCCUUGGGUGGUUGCGAUGAGUUCGGACAUUACAAAAAUUUCCAACCCAAAAGUCAUCCAGUUGUUUAUUUAGAUUUUUUUUUGAGAAAAAGAUAAUAUGUUAUCCGCUUUGUUCAUUUUUUUUAGAAAUAAACUCAGCUGAAAAUGUAAAGCAAAUAGACCUCGAACUUGGAAUCUCAAGUACGUACCAAGUACCAAGUCCUUUGCCACUUACGCUAGGAAUGAUUUAGAUUUUGUUUGCAGAAACCUGCACUUUAUGGUUCUUGCUACAUGGGCAUGAGUGCGUACCAUGUAAAGCACCUUCGCCGAUUUUAAGCUUAUCGGAUAGAGAAUGAGUCUAACAUAAGUUUAUAUGGUAAAGGAUCUAUUUUAGCAUAACUACUAAGAAAGUGAUUUCUACUUAAAUGAUUUUGACGGCGAAAAAGUAGUACUUUAAAAAGUCAUUUUGUAAAACGUUUUGGCAAAUUUUUUGAAAGUUAUUUGGUAAAAUAUAAAAUAAUUUUAAAUUUUAAAUUUUAAAUUUUAAAAAUUUGAAAUUUAAAAUUUGACUUUAGAAUUUUAAAUUUUGAAUUUUGAAUUCUCCAUUUUAAAUUUUAAAUUUUAAAAUUAAAAAUAAUUUUUAAUUUUCAAAUCUUGAAUUUAUAUAUAUAAUUUAAAAUUUUAAAAUUUUAAUUUUAAUUUUAAAUUUUAAUUUUAAUUUUAAAUUUUAAAUUUUAAUUUUAAAUUUACAAUAUAAAUUUAAAAUUUUUAAUUCUAAAUAUUAAAAUUUGAAAUUUAUCAAUUUUGAAUUUGAAAUUUAUCAAUUUUGAAUUUAAAAUAUGAGCUUGAAAUUAAAAGUUUAAAUCCAAAAUCAAAAUUUAAAUCUAAAAUUUCAAUAAAAAAUUAGAAUCAUAUUUUAUGAACAAGAUUAUCUCCUUCUGAUUCUGGGACCUCUAGAAUCAAAAAUCUGAUUUCACAACAUAAAUUACCAAGUGCGCAAUUAUCGAAAGAUAAAUUACUUUUGGCCCUAAAAUUAGUUUAUGAAAGCUAGGCCAAAUAGCCCCAUGCCAAAGCAUCAAAUAGCAACCCUAGACGUAAGGGUGAUAUUGAUAAAUCAAAAAGCUCUUUUCACAGUCAUGAGAUGGGAUAUUGAUAGGCCUGGCAGACUGUAAAAGUGGGAUGAAGAACGCCUUUCGGUUAGAACUGUCACAUUGACGUCAUUCUCUUCUAAUCAUUCCAAGCAGUAAGACCUGAGAUCAGAAUCGAAAUAGGAAUAGAAAUGAAAAUAUACCGAAAUCGAAAACAGAAUGAUGAUCAAACUUCUAAUUUAUUUUGUUAUAAUAAAGGAAAUCAAAAUUAAAAUCAUGCGCCAAUCAAAAUUCAAAUUUAAUUAAACUACAAAUUUACAAUAUAAACUCAUAAUUAAAAUUUGAAUUUAAAUUCUAACUCGCAAUUGAGUUUAAAGUUGGAAAUUACAAUUCAAAUUCAAGUUCAAGGUCGAAAUUAAAAUUUAGAACAAAAUUCAAACAUCCAACUUAUAUUAGAAUUUAAAUUUGAACUUAACAAUUAAAAACUAAAAUUUAAAUAUAAUUUAAAUUUAGGCUAAAUUACAGAAAACCUCCUUGUAAUAACCCAUUUUUUUACUUUCCCUCCCUGACAUUUAAAAACCUACACUUUGUCCCCCUGUAAAAUAAAAAAUGUGCACUUCACUCCCUACCGUUAGGGUUCCGUUAAAAAAUAUAUUUUUAUGCCAAAAAUACCCCUCCGCCAUCUCCCUCUUGCUUCGACUCCCUCCGGCUCGCCACCUCGCCGCCGCCUCGCCGUCUCGCCGCCUAGCCGCCUCGUCGUCCUCCACUGCCUCGCCCUCACCAACAUCCCCUUCACCGUCCUCCGCCGCCUCGCCUUUGCCUUCUUUGCCCUUCUCCUACUGUCGCCCACCUCGGUUUUCUCCUACUGUCGCCGAAAUCGAGGGCGGCGAGGGUGCAGGAGGAGAAGGGGAGCAGGUGGAGAAGGAAAUGGAGAGAAAUUGCGGCCGAUUGAGGUGGGAAUCGCAGCCGAACGAAGAGGCGGCUAAGGAAGAUGGGGAAGUAGACGACAAUGGCGAGGGGCAAAAUGGUCAUUUUACACAUCGUAACCCUCCUGUGAACAUUUUUCAUUUUACAGGGGGGCAAAGUGUAGGUUUUGAAUAUCAGGGGGGGAAAGUGAAAAAGCGGAUAAUGAUAGGGGGUUUUCUGUAAUUUAGCCUUAAAUUUAUUCUAAAAUUAAGUAUAGAUAAUAUUUAAAUUUCGAUAACUAUUAGUGAAAAAUAAGUUCUUUUCUCAAUCCCUUUUCGAGUCAAGAUCGAUUUCCCCCUCCAACAGGGGAAUCAUUUUGGGGGUUCAAUUUUUUUUUCUGAAGUGGAAAUCAAAAUGUUAAUCGCUCAAAACCAUAAACCAAUAAUAGAAAUGAUUUAUUCAGAUUCCGAUUUUUACUCCAAGGCUCAAAUCCUUGAAACCAAAUGUAUGAAGCGAAAAGUUUGCCGGACCAUGGGUCAAGAACACUAAAAAUCAAAAGUUAGUACAAACUCCAACAAAAUAUACUGUAAACGAGGUACUCAAAUCAAUCGAGAAAGCUAAUCAUAUAUAUAUAGAGCUUGUUAAAUAAAACCAUUUCCUUAUCCAAGACAUAAAAUUUUUAACUAAUGCCUAGCAAAUCAUUAUAAGCACUUUAUAAGUUAAAAAUUUGAUUCAUAUUCAUUCCAAAUUAUAAUUGCAUUUGAAUUCGUUUAGAUCAAAUAUAAUUAAAAAGUUUAAUAUUCAUAUCUAUGGUCGUAUCAUUAUAUUAAGUAUGAAUAAAUACAAUUUUAUCAAAUAUGCAAUCAUAUUUAGCAGUUUUUACCCCUAUUUAAGAAAAACUGCAAACGGAUCUAAGUAUUUGUGAUGGUAUAUAUACUUGCUAAAAUAGUUUUAUGUUGCUGCCACCACAGUAUUGCACAUCCGCUUUAUUGGACAAAAUUUUGACAGUAGGGGUAUAAAAUACCGUCUCAGAGUUUAUGGACACGUCAGUGUAAUUUACUACCCGUAUUCAUCACAUUCAUAUGAGAGAAGAGGAAUGGUACUUGUCACGUAAAGGCAGAGUAUAAAUUUUAAGCCAAUUUGCAUAAAAAAUUUAUUAAUUUUACAUUUUCAUAAAAAAAUAGAUUUUUUUUUGGAUUUGAUAUGUUGGGUUUGAAUUUUUAGUAAACUAUUUCUUUAUGUUUCUCAUUCAUUUUUCUCCUCCCUCUCCGUCUCCCUCCUCCUCAUAUUUCCUUUCUCUUUUUCUCCUUAUGCUUCCUCACCCUUCUCUUCUUCCACCGUACGCAUGUUGAUGCAGUGCUCCUCUCUUCUACCUUGCCUACACCUCGACAAAUGCUGGUGAUGGCAAUGCGGCUUGGAUAUGGCAUAGAUUGCGGGAGGUUUGGCUGAGGUGAAGAGCAUGGCCGUGGACAGCAAUAGUAACGAAACCAUUAUCCCGACCCUACAUUUCUUCAUCCAAAGGCUAAAAACUCAAAAGCACCAUCUCUUUGGUGAUUUGGAAGUAUUAGGCUACUAUGCUAUUAAUAGCACCAAGUCAUUGGUGCUACCAAGUUUUUGGCCAUUGGAUUAAGAGAUGUGCGGUUAGGAUAAUGUGGGCCCCCUAGGAUUGAGUGGGUGGUUGGUUGAAUAGUAUGAUUUAACCGGUGAAAAUAAUCAAAAGAAUAGAUCUUACGGCAGAAAACUUGGUAGCACCAAGUGCUUCGUGCUAUUAAUAGCAUAGUAGCCGGACUCUCUCUCUCUCUCUCUCUCUCUCUCUCUCCUCUCUCUCUCUCUCUCUCUCUAUAUAUAUAUAUAUAGAGUUGAGCUAGAAUACUAUCGAUAGCAAACGGGCUCCGUUGUCACCCAUUUGUUUUCGAUGAUGAAGCCUCCAAAUCGACGAUCGACACCAUUGAACAUGAUCUAUACCACUUGAAAUAUUUAGAAAUCAAAUUUCAUAUAUUUUCGACAUUGUUCUGUUAUCCAUCGAGUGGACACAAAAAUGAACGGCUAAAAAUGAAUAUUCUUUAAAAAAUGAUGAUAGGAGUCUUAUAAUCAAGAUCAAGAGUACAGAUCUUGUUUUAAAUAGUUUAAAGAAUUUUCUAACAAAAAUUUAAUUAAUUUGGCUAUUUUUACGCCGUUAAACGAGAAAACGCCUCAUAUCGACCAUUAAAAUUACAAAUUUUGAAACCCUUUGAUCAUUAGGCAAAUAAUGUCGAAAAGAUUUAAAAUUUAAUUUCUAAACACUUCAAGUGGUAUAGAUCAUGUUCAACGGUACUGAUCAUCGAUUUAGAGGCUCUAUCAUCGAAAACAAAUGGUGGCAACGGAGCCCGUUUACUAUCGAUAGUAUUCUAGCUUAACUCUCUCUCUCUCUCUCUCUCUCUAUAUAUAUAUAUAUAUAGAGAGAGAGAGAGAAGAGAGCGAGAGAGAGAGAGAGAGUAUAUAUAUUAUUAUAAGAGAGAGAGAGAAGAGAGAGAAGAGAGGAGAAGAGAGAGUUGGAACUGGCUACUAUUAGUAGCAAAAUCCCAUUGUUGCUACCAGUUUUUUAGCCUUUAGAUCACUCUUUUUAUUAUUUUUAAAGCAUUGGAUUAAAUACUAUAAUCCAGUGGGACCACUCAACCCUAGGGGACCAUUCAACUCUAACUGACUAUUAUCAUCCUAACCCUACAAAUUUCAUCCAAGGGUUAAAAAAUGAAUAAAUCAGUGUUUACUAAUUAAUAGUAUUCAACAAACUAUAUAAUAUAUUUAUAUAUAAUAUAUACUAUAUAUAUAUUAUAUAGCGAGAGAAAGCAGAGAGAACAGAGAGAGAGAGAGAGAGAGAGAGAGAGAGAGAGCAGGGACUGGCUGCUGUGCUCUCAGGAGCACGAAGGCCUCCAUGCUCCUGAGCCGUUUCGAUUAUGGAAUUUUCGAAUCGACGAUCAGCUCCGUUAGACUUGAUCUAGCGUAUUUCAAGUUUCUAGAAAAUAAUUUUUGCGAUUUUUCAAUAUCAUUUACCUAGCAAUCGAAAGGAUUCAAAAUCAAUAAUUUUUAACGACUGAAAAUAAAAAUCCUAUAAAAAGUCGUGAUAUAGCACUAAAAUUUUCGAUCAGAAAUAUUGAUCUUGUUGUAAAUAGUAUAAAGAAUUUUGUAUCAAAAUUUCAUCUGAUUUGAAUACUUCUACACUGUUAAACUUGAAAAUGGCAGAUAUAAACCAUUAAAAAUUAUGGAUUUUGAAUCCUUUCGAUUACUAGGUAAAUGAUAUCGAAAAAUCGCAAAAAUUAUUUUCUAGAAACUUUAAAUACCCUAGAUCAAGUCUAACGGAGCCGAUUGUCGAUUCAAAAAUUCCAUCAUCGAAAACGGCUCAGAGCACAGCAGUCCUGCUAUAUAUAUAUAUAUAUAUAUAUAUAUAUAUAUUUCUUCUUCUUUGAAGGUCACCGCGCGCCGCAGCUGCUAUAAGGAAGGCCAACAAGAAGAGAAGAAAGAAAAAGAAGAAGAACAAAAAGAAGUGAAGAAAAAGAAGUUGCAUUAUUUUAGAAUAAGUUACACUAUUUGAAUUAAAGUUGCACUAUUUAAAACCAUUUGAAAGUAAGUUGCUUGCACUAUUUAAUAUUAAAUUGUACUGUUUAAGACUAAAUUAUAUCAUUUGAAACUAUUUGAAACUAAAUUACAUUAAAAAAAAAGGAAGUUUCGUUGUUUAAGACUAAGUUGCAUUGUUUGAGACAAUUUGUACAACUUCUUGACAAGUAUAACUUAACCUCAAACAGUGUAAUUUCUACUUUUGAUAGUGCAACUUAGUUACAAAUAGUUUUAAAAGAUGCAAUUUAAUCUCAAACAGCAUAAGUUAAUCUCAAAUAGUGCAACUUUUCUUCUUCUUUUCCUCUUCUCUUAGCCUUUCCUGUAGAAGCUACGGCACAAGAUGACCUUUCUAAGAGAAAAAAUAUAUACUUUAUUUCUUUUUUUCCCCUCCAUUCUUUUCCACUACUGCACCUAUUGGAUUUUAUUGGGUUUGUUAUGAUUUAAAACUUAUUAAUACUACUUGAUUGGGUUUCUUUAUUGGGUUUGUUAUGAUUUAUUCUUUCGGUUUUAUCUUUAUUUUAAUUCUAAUUCUAAUCUUUACAUAUAAUCUUAGGCUUAUUUUAUUCUACUCGGAUUUGACGCGUUGGAACAAGAUUCUCGCCUUGAUUAUAAAUAUAGGGCGAGGUUGUACGAGUUGAAUAAUAAUAACCCGAGCAUACCUAAAGCCUCUCUUCUUUUCUUGCUUUCUGAGUUUUCGUCGAGUUUUCUUUUGCUGGAUCUGAAGAUGGUUGGAUUGAUCUUGCGCCACCUUGGAAGCGUGCCGACGAGGUGGAACGUGGUCGUUGUAUCGCUAGGAGUAAUUGUCGGAAAGCCUCGCACGUAGAGGCGCAAUUUCGCUUCUAGGACAGUGCUCUGCACGCCUCAAUCCACAGGCCUUAUCUAAAUCUUUUCUUUACCGUAUUUGUUAUUUAAUUUCGUUUUAGGAUUUUUCCUAAACCUGUAAUUAAAAUUUUGAAUUGGUUUUUAAAGAAUAUUGUAAUAAAAGAUCAGAAAGAUUUUCCAACAAUCUAUAAGCGAAAUUGAUUUUAUCUUUUUGUUUCUUUUAUUAUAGUUAUUAAAAUAUAUUAUACGCAAAAUUUGGGCACUUUGGAUUUAUUUUAUAAAGUUACUGUUCAUCAUCUUCUUCUUCCUUUAAAAUUAAUCCUCAAACUAGUUUUAAAGUUCUCGCCAUGGAUGGAUUAUAAUUGUUUGUAGCGGGCGCGGCGAGAUUGCAACUUUGUUUUGGGCGUUUGCGUCUCGGCGACUUUUGGUCGCAUGGAAGUUCGGUAUGAACGACAAUCCGUCCUUAUGCCGCAUGUAGUUGCGAGUCUCCGGUAAGGAUGUGCUGUUGCAAUCAAGUCCCGCAUAGGGUUACCCGCUUGUUAAUCUCGGCCGCACGUGAUGCAUGAGGCUUGGCCUAUUUGAGGCGGCCGCAUCUUUUCUUAAUUGAGUUUUUAAUAAAAGUCAAGGGAGAAGAUGAACAGUAUGUUUUGUUGGGUUGAUUUAUCACAUUCCACUUAAUGAAUUAAGACAACACAACUUUAGAUUUAAUUAAUUUGAACUUCAAAACUGUUUUUUUUUUAAUUCAAAACUGUUUUCUUUUUUGACAUAACAGUAGAAUUAAUUUGUGCACUAAUUUAUUUUUAUUAUGGAGUAUUCGGCGUAACCGUUUACUUUUAAUGGUCAUAAUUUUAAGAGGUGGCAGAACCAAAUGAGCUUCUGGCUUACCACACUUGGGCUGAUUUCUGCUAUCUCGGAUUCUGCCGAUAAUGCUAGUGGAUCUGUACCUAUAGGUGCAACCCAGAAUGUGAUUGCACGGAGUCCACCAUAUUCUCGACCUUAGGAAAAAUUUGAUUAGUAGUUCUCUUUUAUUUCAGCAGGGUUUUAAGUUAGUUUUUUAAUGUAAUAGGGUAGUUAUAACAAAAGGAGUGAAUUUUAUCGGAAAAGAAUUUUUGAGUGAUGGUUUAUUUAAAUUAUCUAUAUCUUCUCCUAAUAUUUGGCAUGGAAGAUUGGGACAUGUGAAUUUUAAUACUAUCAAAAGAUUGAUACAUCUUGAUUUGAUUCCUAAAUUUGAUUUAUCUAAUCAUAGAUGUGAAAUAUGUGUGAAAGCUAAGGAGCCUAGGAAACCAUUUAAAUCUGUGGAUAGAGAUUGCGAUCUUUUAGGAUUGGUGCACAGUGAUGUUUGUGAUGGAAAUAGACCUAGCUAGUAGAGGUGGAAAUAAAUAUUUUGUGACGUUUAUAGAUGAUCAUUCAAAAUAUUAUUAUGUUUAUUUGAUCAAAUCAAAAGAUGAGAUUUUAAACAGAUUCAGGAUUUAUAAGGCUGAAGUUGAAAAUCAAUUAGAUAAGAAAUUAAGAUUUUGAGGUCUGGUCGAGUUGGUGAAUAUACUUCAAAUGAGAUGACUGCUUUCUGUCAAGAGUUUGGAAUUGUACAUCAAGUGAUUGCUCCUUAUACACCUCAAUCUGAUGGAGUUGCUGAACGUAAGAAUAGAACUUUGAUGGAUAUGGUGAAUUCGAUGAUUAUUAGUUCAGGCGCACCCGAGAACUUGUGGGGGAAGCUUUAAUUUCUGCAUGUGUGAUUUUGAGUAGAAUUCCCCACAAGAAUUCUAAUGCAUCUCCCAAUGAGCUUUGGAAAGGUAGGAAGCCUAAUCUAAAUUAUUUUAAAGUGUGGGGGUGCCUAGCUAAAGUGAAGAUACCUGAGAAUAAGGAGAAAAAGAUUGGACCAAAGACUGUGGAUACAGCUUUUGUGGGUUAUGCACAUGAUAGCAAUGCAAAUCGAUUUUUAGUAAUGAAUUCUGAAAUUAGUGAGAUUUCUAAUAACACUAUUAUUGAGGCUAGAGAUACAGUAUACUUUGAGGAUGUUUUUCCUAUUAGAACAAGAGUAGAUAGACCUAUUCCAGCUGAGUCUAUAGGUAAUUCUAGUAAACCUAGAAUUAGUGAACCUAUAGAAGAGACUGAACCUAAGAGAAGUAAGCAUCCUAGAGUAGCGAAAAUUUUGGAGAUGAUUUUUGUGUCCUACUAGUAGAAGAUACUCCAUCUACCUAUAACCAAGCUAUGACGUCUGUAGAUGCAUCGUUUUGAAAAGAGACUAUUAAUCUGGAGAUCUAGUCUAUUCUACAUAAUCAUACUUGGGAGUUGACUGAUUUACCUUUAAGAUGUAAGUCUGUAGGUUGUAGAUGGAUUUUUAAGAAGAAGUUGAGAUCCGAUUGAUCUGUAGAUAAGUAUAAGGCUAGAUUAGUGGCACAAGGAUUUGCACAGAAGUCUGGGGUAGAUUAUUUUGAUGUUUAUGCUCUUAUUGCUAGGAUUACCUCUAUUAGAGUGUUGAUUGCCUUGGCCUCUAUCCAUGAUUUGAUUAUUCAUCAAAUGGAUGUUAAGACAGCAUUUCUGAAUGGUGAUUUGGAUGAAGAGAUUUAUAUAAAACAACCUGAAGGUUUUAUAGUUUCUGGACAUGAGAAUAAAGUAUGCAAAUUGAAUCGAUCUUUAUAUGGACUUAAGCAAGCUCCUAAGCAGUGGCGUUUGAAAUUUGACUCUUUGGUUGUAUCAAAUGGUUUUCAUGUAAACAUGUCUGAUGAAUGCGUGUAUUCAUGAAUGCGUAUAUUCGAAGGAGUAUAAUGGACAGAUAGUGAUCUUAUGCUUAUAUGUUGAUGAUAUCUUGAUUUUUGGUACUAAUAUGAAUGCCAUAAAUGAUGUGAAGAAAUUGUUAAAUGAAAAUUUUGAUAUAAAAGAUCUUGGGUAAGCAGACAUUAUUCUCAACAUGAAGAUCAUCAGAAAAUCAAAAGAAAUUAUUAUGAGUUAAUCCUACUACAGUGAACAGUUAUUGAAAAAGUUUGAAUAUUUUGGUGUUAAACCUGUAGUGACACCUUAUGAUUCUAGUGUGCAUCUUAAAAAGAAUAGAGUAGAUCCAAUAGGUCAAAAUAGAUAUUCACAGAUUAUUAGAUCCUUAGGAUAUUUGGUGGAUUACACUAGACCUGAUUUAGCUUAUGCUGUGAAUCGAUUGAGAAGAUAUACCCAUAAUCCAAAUAGAGAGCAUUAGAAUGCCUUAAAAAGAGUUUUGAGAUAUCUGAAGGGGACUGUUUCUUAUGGAUUAGAUUACACUGGUUUUCCUGUAGUAUUGGAAGGAUAUAGUGAUGCUAAUUGGAUUAGUGAUACUGUUGAUAUAAAGUCGACUACUGGAUUUAUUUUUCUUUUAUGAGGAGCAGCUGUUUCUUGGAAGUCAAUUAAACAAUCAUUGAUUGCUAGAAGUACUAUGGAAUAUGAACUUAUAGCCUUGGAUACAACUAUAGUAGAAGCUAAGUGGAUCAGAGAGUUUCUUUAUGAUUUACCACUUAUGGAGCGACCUUUAGCACCUAUAUGUAUUCAUUGUGAUUGCAAAUCUGCUAUAGAUAAGUAUGCUCAAGAGAAUGUGGAAACGAAAAAGAAUAGAUUCAUGAAAGUGAGAUAUAAGUUCAUUCGACAGAAUUUGAAGGAAAAUGUGAUUUGUGAAAUCUACAAAGAAUCUGGCUGAUCAGCUUACAAAGGGAUUAUCUAGGACAGUGAUCCUAAAAUCGUAGAGGGGGAUGGGGCUUAGCCCACAAUAGAAGUUACCGCCGACGGCAACCCAACCUGUUGCAGGUUCAAUGGGUAGAAACAAGUCGAACAGAUAGCUGUGAGGAGCACUGUUUUUAUAUUCUCAUCCCUAUAGCGACAGUGCUCUGUAAGUGGAUAGGAAGGGCAUUGGCCCUGAAUGGCUCCGAGACCUAUAAGGUAGGGUGUGACCUUGCAUAUACCCUUUGAGGACCUACUAUAUGUGUGGAAUCGUGAGGCCGCGACUAUGGAAAAUGGCGGUUCCCUAAAACACACACGAAGCGAUACUAGCGGAUGGCCAUAAAAGCGCUCACCCGUUUAGAACCUAUUCAGCUGUACCAUGUGUGUUGUUCGCGGAAAUCUAAUUCACCGGCUCUGGUUCAAGGCGUAGUCCACCAUUGUGCCCUCGGAUGUACAUUGACAAGCGCUAAGUGAAGGUUCAAAUUCGAAAGGUACCUUUACCGAAUACAUGGUAUAAAAGAUCCAGCAUUCUUUUGAAUUAUUUUGAAUUUCAGUUUAUUUCCUUUCUUUAUUUUAAGUUUUAAAUCAUGUGGGAGAAUAUUGGAUUUUAUUAGGUUUGUUAUGAUUUAAAACUUAUUAAAACCACUUGAUUGGGUUUCUUUAUUGGGUUUGUUAUGAUUUAUUCUUUCGGUUUUAUCUUUACUUUAAUCCUUAUUUUUAUCUUUAUCCUAAUUCUAAUCUUUAUCCAUAUAAUCUUAGGCUUAUCUUGUUCUACUCGGAUUUGACGCGUUGGAACAAGAUUCUCGCCUUAUGGGGCGAGGUUGUACGAGCUGAAUAAUAAUAACCCGAGCAUACCUAAAGCCUCUCGAUCGUCUUUUCCUGCUUUCUGAGUUUCCGUCGAGUUUUCUUUUGCUGGAUUUGAAGCUGGUUGGGUUCAUCUUACGCCAUCUUGAAAGCGUACCGACGAGGUGGAACAUGGUCAUUGUAUCACUAGGAGUAAUUGCUGGGAAGCCUCGCACGUGGAUGGGCAAUUUCGCUUCUAGGACAGUGCUCUAUACGUCUCGAUCCACAGGCCUUAUCUAAACCUUUUCUUUACCGUAUUUGUUAUUUAAUUUCGUUUCAGGAUUUUUCCUAAACCUGCAAUUAAAUUUUUGAAUUGAUUUUUAAAGAAUAUUGUAAUAAAAGAUCAGAAAGAUUUUCCAACAGCACUCACUCCACCCUCUACCGUACUACCACCUCCGCCCUUACACGCUCUUCCGCCGAUCAUUCUUAAAUCUUGCAACACCUUUAUUGCCGUCACCGUCUAUGGUCAUGCCCUUCACCACAACCUCACCUCUGCGAUUUGUACCAUAUCCGAUCCCACGAUGCUAUCAUCGACAUAGGCAGACACUACAACAGAAUUAGGUUAUAGGGACACAUGUUUGGGACACUUUUGAGUAAGUGUCCCAUUUAUGCUAAAACUUAAAAAAACAUCUACUAAUGCCUAAAUAUAAAGCCCAAUCCAACAAAAAAUAAAAGAUUACUCUACUCAACCCGCCACACCCAGUCCAUUUGGCCCGAUUACAAACAGAAAAGAAAAAAAAAAAAGAAAAAUCAAUUACCAUCUUUUCUUCUCUCUUCACUCAAUCCAUUGAAAUUCUAGACGAAGAGCCUUUCCUGUCGUCAUCCUCUGCCACCGCAGCCAACGAGAUAGAGUUUCGGCAGUUGCUAAAUGCUUAAAUAAGUGUUUGUAAAUUAGCAGCACUCUUUUAGGUUAUAGCGACACUCUUUAACUGUCACUAUAUACCUAACGACCCUAUAUAUAGCAACACUUUUUAAAAGUGUCGGUAAUUUUAGCUAGCAGCACUUUUUUGACAUGUACCUACAUUUAAAAGUGUCGCUAUAGACCGUUUUUGUUGUAGUGAGAGGUGUGGACAAGACAUAAGUGCAAUGGAGAAGGAGGAGAGAAAGAAAGUAGGAGAAGAAAAGGAAGAAGGAACGGUGAGAAGGAGAGAGAAAAAGAGGGAAUAGAGAAAACGGAUAAGAGAGAAAGAAGAAAGAAAGAAAAAUAAUGAUAUUUUGAUCAGUUUAGUAAAAAUUCAGACUUCAACAGCAAAACUCUUGUUUUGCAAAAAUGCAAAACCAGUGAAAUCUUUU